GCUUGUCUCAAAGAUUAAGCCAUGCAUGUCUAAGUACAAGCCUCAGUAAGGUGAAACCGCGAAUGGCUCAUUAAAUCACACCUAAUCUACUGGAAAGUUACUAGUUACUUGGAUAACUGAGGUAAUUCUAGAGCUAAUACAUGCAUCAACUCCCAACUGCUUCGCGGAAGGGAUGUAUUUAUUAGAUUGAAACCAAUGCACUUCGGUGGUAUUGUGGUGAAUCAUGAUAACUUUGCGGAUCGUAUGGCUUCACGCCGACGAUGAAUCAUUCAAGUUUCUGCCCUAUCAGCUUUGGAUGGUAGGGUAUUGGCCUACCAUGGCUUUGACGGGUAACGGAGAAUUGGGGUUCGGUUCCGGAGAGGGAGCCUGAGAGAUGGCUACCACAUCCAAGGAAGGCAGCAGG
rnacentral:rRNA from 1 species